UACGUAGGGUGCAAGCGUUGUCCGGAAUUAUUGGGCGUAAAGAGCUCGUAGGCGGUUUGUCGCGUCUGCUGUGAAAACUCGGGGCUUAACCCCGGGCCUGCAGUGGGUACAGGCAGACUAGAGUGCGGUAGGGGAGACUGGAAUUCCUGGUGUAGCGGUGAAAUGCGCAGAUAUCAGGAGGAACACCGGUGGCGAAGGCGGGUCUCUGGGCCGUAACUGACGCUGAGGAGCGAAAGCAUGGGGAGCGAACAGG
rnacentral:rRNA from 1 species